rnacentral:rRNA from 1 species
CACGUGGGACUCCUACGGGAGGCAGCAGUGGGGAAUCUUAGACAAUGGGGGAAACCCUGAUCUAGCCAUGCCGCGUGAGUGACGAAGGCCUUAGGGUCGUAAAGCUCUUUCAGCUGUGAAGAUAAUGACGGUAGCAGCAGAAGAAACCCCGGCUAACUCCGUGCCAGCAGCCGCGGUAAU